AUUGAACGCUGGCGGCACGCUUUACACAUGCAAGUCGAACGGUAACAGGGAGCUUGCUCCGCUGACGAGUGGCGAACGGGUGAGUAAUGCGUCGGAACGUGCCGAGUAGUGGGGGAUAACGCAGCGAAAGUUGUGCUAAUACCGCAUACGUACUGAGGUAGAAAGUGGGGGACCUUCGGGCCUCACGCUAUUCGAGCGGCCGACGUCUGAUUAGCUAGUAGGUGAGGUAAAGGCUCACCUAGGCGACGAUCAGUAGCGGGUCUGAGAGGAUGAUCCGCCACACUGGGACUGAGACACGGCCCAGACUCCUACGGGAGGCAGCAGUGGGGAAUUUUGGACAAUGGGCGAAAGCCUGAUCCAGCCAUGCCGCGUGUCUGAAGAAGGCCUUCGGGUUGUAAAGGACUUUUGUCGGGGAGGAAAUCCCCAGCGCUAAUACCGCUGGGGGAUGACAGUACCUGAAGAAUAAGCACCGGCUAACUACGUGCCAGCCGCCGCGGUAA
rnacentral:rRNA from 1 species